AACGCACGAGACCUGCGGACCUGCGGAAGGAUCAUUAUCGAGUUAGGGUCUUCACGGGCCUGACCUCCCAACCCUAUGUUUACCAAACCUAUGUUGCUUCGGCGGGCCCGUCUCACGACCGCCGGGGGACGGUAAGACGUCCUCUGGCCCGUGCCCGCCGGUGGCCAACCAUCCAAAUUCUGAUUCAAACAUGUUAACCUGUCUGAGUGUCAGUUUUUAAUUAAAGCAAAACUUUUAACA
rnacentral:misc_RNA from 1 species